CCUACGGGUGGCUGCAGUGGGGAAUAUUGCACAAUGGGGGAAACCCUGAUCCAGCGACGCCGCGUGAGUGAAGAAGUAUUUCGGUACGUAAACCUCUUUCAUCGGGGACGAAAAUUACGUUACUUGACUCAGAAGCCGCGGCUAACUACGUGCCAGAAGCCGCGGGACUACGUAGGGGGCAAGCGUUCUCCGGAUGUACUGGGUGGAAAGUGAGCGUAGACUGCAGCGCAAGACUGAAGUGAAAUCCCAUGGCUUAACCAUGGAACUGAUUUGGAAACUGUGCAGCUGGAGUGCAGGAGAGGUAAGCGGAAUUCCUAGGGUAGCAGUGAAAUGCGUAGAUAUUAGGAAGAACACCGGUGGCGAAGGCAGCUGACUGGACCGUAACUGACGUUGAGGCUCGAAAGCGUGGGGAGCAAACAGGAUUAGAUACCCUUGUAGUC
rnacentral:rRNA from 1 species